UUCAAACAAAGGUAGGGAAGGCAAAGGUAAAGGAAAAGAGAACCAAAGAUGGUGGACAAAACCGUUAGGGGAAGCGCAAGGAAAAGGCCACGGAUAUCUCAAAGAAGAAAGGUGACGGAAAUGGCAAGAACCCAAAGGUGUAUUUACCUCCAGCUUGCUACACUUUAUCAAAGGAAGAAAAACGAAGGUUUUGUGCUUGUUUUUAUGACAUUAAUCUUUGGGUUCUCGUCAAACAUGAAAAAGUUUGUUUCCUUAAAUGGAGAAUUGAAGUUGACAAGUAUGAAAUCCCAUGAUUGUCACAUGAUGAUGCAAGUAUUCCUACCGAUUGCAAUUCGUGGUAUUUUACUAAAGCACGUGAGAGAAGUUACACUACUACAAAAAUGGGAAAAGGGAUCUAUAAUAAAAGACUUGUUGAUUAAUACAACGGGUCUCUUUAAUAUAAAAGAUCUGAUACUAGAGAUAACGGGUUUCUUAUAUAUCAUAGGGCCCACCAUUAGUUUUGAAAAUAGGGAAGGAAAAAAAAUAAAAGACCCAUAGUUGACUUAACGGGUCUCUUAUAUAUGUAAGGGCCCACUAAUUAAGCAACUUUUAUUAUAUUUGAGUUAACAGCAAAACCCUAUUUCUUUCACUUGCAUUUUCCAUCACCACACCCCCCAUUCACGCCGCUCUCUCCUCUCAUCUCCACUCCUAUCAACUUCUACUUCUCCUGGAGCAAAAACACACUAUUGCCACCUCCUUCCUAACGCCGAUGUCGCUUCCUCCUUCUCCUCAAUGCCCGCGUCGCUACCUCCUCCUCCUCCUCCUCCUCCUCAAUAUCGGUGUCGUCUUCUCUUUCUACUUAACGUCGUCGUUGCUACCUCCUUAUUUUAUUUCAUCAUCGUCAAUAAAACCUUAAUUUAAGGCUUUCAAGAACAAUUUUGACCAUGCAAACUCCAGAUCUGGAGUUUUGAUGGUUAAUAUGGCCAAAUAAUCAAAAUUGAAGUGUUUAAAAAGAUGUCGAUAAUAACGAAGCUAAAAGCUUGCUUCCGGAAAUUACAAGUUAGUUUCAGCGAGGAAGUGAUUGAUGAUUUCUACAAGGCAUGUGCUAUAAAUGAGGACAUGGGUCUACUGGAUGUCAUCAAAAAACACAAAAACUCCCAAAUACGGAGGUAGAAAAUGGAGUACUGAAGUCGUCUUGAUUUAAUUGUAAAUAUAAAUUUAUUUUUAAUAAAUUUGACCAAUUUUUAUUGUUGGGAUUUUACGUUUGUUGAUUUUUUUUUAUCUCAUAAAUUUAAUUUAGUUCAUUGCUAUUUCGUAUUAUUGAUGUUACGUACAGAUUAAGUAUACAAAUUACAAACUCCACUAUAUAAUUUAGCUCAUUAAUUCUGCCAAUUUGUAUAGCGCAUUAAAACAAAAAUAAUUCAAAUGCAAAUCUCUAAAA